GGCGCUAUGGUGGAACUGGUAGACACGUAGGACUCAAAAUCCUAUGCUUCACGGCGUGAGAGUUCGAUUCUCUCUGGCGCUA
rnacentral:tRNA from 1 species